UGGGGAAUAUUGCACAAUGGGCGCAAGCCUGAUGCAGCCAUGCCGCGUGUAUGAAGAAGGCCUUCGGGUUGUAAAGUACUUUCAGCGGGGAGGAAGGGAGUAAAGUUAAUACCUUUGCUCAUUGACGUUACCCGCAGAAGAAGCACCGGCUAACUCCGUGCCAGCAGCCGCGGUAAUACGGAGGGUGCAAGCGUUAAUCGGAAUUACUGGGCGUAAAGCGCACGCAGGCGGUUUGUUAAGUCAGAUGUGAAAUCCCCGGGCUCAACCUGGGAACUGCAUCUGAUACUGGCAAGCUUGAGUCUCGUAGAGGGGGGUAGAAUUCCAGGUGUAUCGGUGAAAUGCGUAGAGAUCUGGAGGAAUACCGGUGGCGAAGGCGGCCCCCUGGACGAAGACUGACGCUCAGGUGCGAAAGCGUGGGGAGCAAACAGG
rnacentral:rRNA from 1 species